GGCCCAAUGGGAGCCGCGGAGGGCCUGGCCGAGUGGAGGAAGCGACAACGGGCGUUGUCGUGGCUGCCGAGAUUAUUGGGGCGUGGGCGGCGUGGCGACGCCAUUACUGUCUUCGGCAAGGUCCCCGGCAAGGCGCUUCCCCGCCAACGUCGUCUACGAGGACGAGAAGGUGGGACCUCGCGAGCAUUGCUGAGGCGGAUCGCGUCUUGAUCCUGCUCCAGCUAGCACCGAGGUAUUCUUGGGGAGUGCAUCGGACGCGACCGACCCUCUGCUGCUCACGACGGACCUCUGACUGGACAUUGAAUCGACUCAGAUCCGUAUUAGUGUGGAAUCGCCCGCUAGCACUUGAGAAUCUGGUACAUGAUAUAGAACCUGGAGACACGGUGUAUAUAAAGACUUGGAGAGAAGAUCCUUUAAAAGAACGUUGGGACGGACCUUAUCAAGUACUUUUAACUACAUUUACCGCAAUCAAGUUUGCUGAAAUAGACUCCUGGAUACAUUACACCCAAGUGAAGAAAGUCCCAAAACUGUGGCAAUCACGAUUAGUGGGUCCAACCACGCUUUUGUUACCGUUUUGUUUUUAUAGUAGUUUAUGUACCCAGACUGUAUGCCACACUGAUUUGCAAAGUCACUGGAGAACAAUUAUGUAAAAUACAAAGGGCUAUAGGAGAUAGUGACGAUACUCAAAUGCCACAAGUAGUGCAGAGUGUACAGAAUCAGGCAGAGAAUCUGAUGAUAGGACUAAUUUGAGAUUUUGCACAAACCCAAAAUGUCAGUAGCAUCACUGCUUGUCUUCCCAUCCCGAAAUCAGCUGAAGAUCCGGUACAGUGGGGAAUAAUAUCUAUGACCUUACCAGAAGUAAAUAAGACUGGUAAGAUAGUGUGUGAGUCCCAUACUAAAAUAGAGCAAGUACCAAUUGAACAACGGACAAAAGAGCUUGUUAAGAAUGCCAUGAUAAAAAGAGGUGACUGCUUAAAGUUGCCAGGAGCAAAAUUUGUAAAGAUAGGACGAUUUCAUAAUAUUGGGUAUUGCACGUAUGAAAAGUGGACCACCAAAACAGUAUAUUAAAAGGUUGAGCGAGCCUAUUGGGAAUGUAAAGAUCAGGAUAAUCAGAACAUAACUGAAUCAUGGGAUAACAUGUGGACGUUGAGUAUAGUACAGCAAUAUCAAUAUAGCGAAGCAUUUCCAUGGUGUAUACGAUGGACCAAUGUAACAAGAGGAGUAACAGUACCGUGGUGGAAUUGCUCUCAAGUAAUGACCUGCCAGACAGAUGUGAAAGAAAUACUUCUGUCCAUCAUUAAAGUUGCAGUAAUCGCAGGUUGCAUUUGUCAGAAACAAUUGGAUCCAAAGGAAGCAAUCAAAAUAGGCAUUGAUGGACAUAAGAUAGAUUGUAGAGGAACUAUAGGUAGUGUGGGACAUUUGGUUUGGGCCUUAAGUGAUGGAACUUGGACGACACAUUUACCGAUAGCAGGACCAGUAAGGGAGGUUACUUUGGGGUUACCAACCCUAUGUCCCAUUUGGAAAAGGUCACCCUUGAAGAAUAGGCAAGAACUCCUACAAGUUAGGUACAAACGAGAGAUAGAUGAAGAUGAUGUGUGGCACGAACCAUCGGGUAGUGUUAAAUUCGGCUGGGCAUUAGAAUCUUUCUUUGCACCAAUCGCAGCCUAUAGGAACAGAGAAAUGAUUGACAGAUUAAUUGGACAAAUGGAUCGAUUGGCAAGGGUAACCAAAAAGGGUUUUCGAGAAUUCAAUAUACAAUUACAAGCUACGACCAAAAUGACUUUGCAGAACAGAUGGCACUUGACAUAAUGUUGCUAAAAGAAAAUGGGGUUUGUGGAUAUUUAAAAGAUAGGGUUGACCAUUGCUGCAUUCAUAUCCCAAACGUAACCUCUGAAGUGGAAAAAGAUAUUUCCCAAUUAACCCAAACAGAAAAAGAACUGCAAGCGGAAAAACAAGAUGUAGAGCAGAGCUGGGUUGGGGCCUUGCUAGGCAAAUUGAACCUGAACCUGGGAGGAUGGGUACAUGAGUUAUUGGAGAGUUUAUUUUUGCUUGCCAUUAUAGUUGCUCUUUUCUUUUUGCUUUAUGCUUGUAUUAAGCAUCAAAUAAGUCAAUCAAAGGCAAGGAACGACCGCAUCUUUACUGUCCUUAGCAGAUCCACUUUUGACAACCCUCCAGCUUAUAAGGCAAAUAUAAUGUAGUGAAAAUGCAUUGUCUAGGAAUAGAAAAGCAUUUUCAAAGGGGGGAAAUGUUAUAGUUGAAUGGAAUUUUGUGGGCUGUGUUUUGAUUCUGUAGAACGUAUCCAAGAUUCUUAGCUUUGAUACUGUAUCCAGGUUCAGAAUGUGCAUUCAAGCAUGAUUUUAUAUAAUCAUAUCCUGUUCCUGAAAUUGACAUAGAUUUAUGACAUAUUCUUUAGAACAGGUAACUUAAACCAUACCCUAUUCUUAAGAUUGAUAUAGAUUUAUGAUAUAUUCUUUAAAACAGGUAACUUAGAAAUAACUGAUAAACAUGGGAAUGUUACUUAGCAUUGCUUAGAUAGAUAAUUUGUGUUAGAAUAGGUGUGGGAUAUGCUAAUGGUUGUCAAGAAUUGUAAUGCAUAUGUAUGUGAUCAAAUUGUACAAAUACGGUGUAGACUGAAUCAGUGGCUGAAGCCAGCUUUGUGUGCGAACCCCUGGUUUCCCAGCGCUGAAAUAAAGCACCACAUAUAACUGCA